rnacentral:rRNA from 1 species
AGUGAACGCUGGCGGCAGGCCUAACACAUGCCAGUCGAACGGCAGCACAAGAGAGCUUGCUCUCUGGGUGGCGAGUGGCGGACGGGUGAGGCAUGCAUCGGAAUCUGCCCAUUUGUGGGGGAUAACCUCGGGAAACCGGGACUAAUACCGCAUACGACCUACGGGUGAAAGCAGGGGAUCUUCGGACCUUGCGCAGAUGGAUGAGCCGAUGCCGGAUUAGCUAGUUGGAGGGGUAAAGGCCCACCAAGGCGACGAUCCGUAGCUGGUCUGAGAGGAUGAUCAGCCACACUGGGACUGAGACACGGCCCAGACUCCUACGGGAGGCAGCAGUGGGGAAUAUUGGACAAUGGGCGCAAGCCUGAUCCAGCCAUGCCGCGUGUGUGAAGAAGGCCUUCGGGUUGUAAAGCACUUUUGUUGGGAAAGAAAAGCAGCCGGUUAAUACCCGGUUGUCAUGACGGUACCCAAAGAAUAAGCACCGGCUAACUUCGUG